GAAGGGCCGAGACACUGCAGGUUUUCCUUACAACCAAUCACCUCAGCAGGUGAUUUAAUUGACGAUCAGGUAUUUAUGUUCAGGGGAGAAGCCCAUCAGCAAUCCACCUGCUGAGGUGAUUGGUUGUAAGGAAAACCUGCAGUGUCUCGGCCCUCGCUGCCCACCCCUGCUCUAGACUAUAAUUGGACUUGUAAGUGAAAAAACUGGGAUGCAAUAGUAGUUAUGUUGUACCUACAUAUUAAAUUUUGCAGAGUAAAAUAUACUCUGCUUGCAUAACAGUUGGUCCCAGUCCAAAUAGAGUUAAAUAUGCUCUAUGACAGUGCUAAAUCAAUUCCAUCACAGGGUAAAAUCAACUCUAUCGUGCUGUGAGUGACUUACUGGAGUUGAAAACUGUGAUUUGACAAGACCAUAGAGCUGAUUUCACUCUAUAAUAGAGUGUAUUCAACUGUAUUUGGACUGGGACCAAAUGUUAUGCUGGCAGAGUAUAUUUUACUCUGCAAAAUUUACUGUGGAGUAUAUCAGUAUGUUAUAUAUCACAAUAAAGCAUAUCCAGAUUAAACGUGUCUUAAAUACCAAAGAAACAACAGCAGAAAACUGCAGUGUACCCCUUAUACUUACUGGCUGAAAGAUUGAGCCAACCUGUAGUAUUGGUACUCUCAGAUAUGUGCCUCUGCAUCCCUAAUUUUUUUUUUUUUCAGUUACAGUUCAUAUUUGAGAGGCCCAAGGCUUCAAAAAAAAAAAAAAAAUCCCUUGGUUUGUUAAUUUGUUUGUGCAGGGGGCGGUGAAUCACAUCGCCCCUUCCAAGCCGAUUGUGUUUUAUUAUUCGAAGAAGUACAUUGAAUGAAUGAGCACCUUCAGUGGAUUAUUUUACUACGUUUGCAGUCUGUGCAUCUUAUUCCCCAUUAGCACAAGUGUCUAGUGUCUCCUCGAUUGCACAGCCGCAUCCUGAGUGAGUGAUACAAUGCGUUUUCACAGCUUACAUCUGAAUCCAGGCUGAGGGACAUUCACUCCGCCUGUAAAACUUUGUCGUAGUCCACUUUGUAUUCCUCCUGUGUGAGGCGCAGAGCAUGUGACGAUGCCUUUUUUUCAUGCUUCGUGAUUUCAGUUUGAGCAUUAAGAUGUUUGAUCAGCUUCACUGAUUUUUGCCUUGCAAGUGAGAGUUUGCUAAAUGUAUUUUACCUGUUAACAUCACAGAAUAAAAUACAUUUAUGUGGUUAA